ACCUGGCGGUUCGAUUCGACAAACGGACAAUAUCUGUCUCCUACACCUGCUAUCCAGGGAUCUGCCUCUGUCCUGGGCGUGCAUGCCCGCACGUCGGGAAGCCCGAAGGGAUAUGUGGAGCCCACCUACCGCAUCGGUAGGGGAUAGACCUGUCCACGGUCGAGCCAGUCAGGUU
rnacentral:other from 1 species